rnacentral:rRNA from 1 species
GGAGGAAAGUAGGGGAUCGCAAGACCUCGCGCUAUUAGAGUGGCCGAUGUCCGAUUAGCUAGUUGGUGGGGUAAUGGCCCACCAAGGCAACGAUCGGUAGCUGGUCUGAGAGGAUGAUCAGCCACACUGGGACUGAGACACGGCCCAGACUCCUACGGGAGGCAGCAGUGGGGAAUUUUGGACAAUGGGCGCAAGCCUGAUCCAGCCAUGCCGCGUGAGUGAAGAAGGCCUUCGGGUUGUAAAGCUCUUUCGGCCGGAACGAAAUCGUCCGAGCUAAUACCUCGGAUGGAUGACGGUACUGGAAGAAGAAGCACCGGCUAACUACGUGCCAGCAGCCGCGGUAAUACGUAGGGUGCAGGCGUUAAUCGGAAUUACUGGGCGUAAAGCGUGCGCAGGCGGCUUCCUAAGUCAGAUGUGAAAUCCCCGGGCUUAACCUGGGAACUGCGUUUGAAACUACAAAGCUAG